GGGUAUGUAGCUCAGUGGUAGAGUGUGUGCUUAGCAUGCACGAGGGUCCUGGGUUCAAUCCCCAGUACCGCCA
rnacentral:tRNA from 1 species